AUUGAACGCUGGCGGCAUGCCUUACACAUGCAAGUCGAACGGCAGCACGGGUGCUUGCACCUGGUGGCGAGUGGCGAACGGGUGAGUAAUACAUCGGAACAUGUCCUGUAGUGGGGGAUAGCCCGGCGAAAGCCGGAUUAAUACCGCAUACGAUCUACGGAUGAAAGCGGGGGACCUUCGGGCCUCUCGCUAUAGGGUUGGCCGAUGGCUGAUUAGCUAGUUGGUGGGGUAAAGGCCUACCAAGGCGACGAUCAGUAGCUGGUCUGAGAGGACGACCAGCCACACUGGGACUGAGACACGGCCCAGACUCCUACGGGAGGCAGCAGUGGGGAAUUUUGGACAAUGGGCGAAAGCCUGAUCCAGCAAUGCCGCGUGUGUGAAGAAGGCCUUCGGGUUGUAAAGCACUUUUGUCCGGAAAGAAAUCCUUGGCCCUAAUACGGUCGGGGGAUGACGGUACCGGAAGAAUAAGCACCGGCUAACUACGUG
rnacentral:rRNA from 1 species